GCACUGCUGAGGAGUCCCAUAAUAGGACGAAACGGCUGUUCAGUGC
rfam:Schistosoma rodhaini strain Burundi genome assembly, scaffold: SROB_scaffold0001009